rnacentral:rRNA from 1 species
UACAGAGGUCUCAAGCGUUGUUCGGAUUCAUUGGGCGUAAAGGGUGCGUAGGCGGCGCGGUAAGUCGGGUGUGAAAUCUCAGAGCUUAACUCCGAAACUGCAUUCGAUACUGCCGUGCUUGAGGACUGGAGAGGAGACUGGAAUUUACGGUGUAGCGGUGAAAUGCGUAGAUAUCGUAAGGAAGACCAGUGGCGAAGGCGGGUCUCUGGACAGUUCCUGACGCUGAGGCACGAAGGCCAGGGGAGCAAACGGG